GGGGCGGUGGCAGCGGAGACGCAAGGGGCAGCGCCAGUCGACAGCGCAGGUCGCUCGCGCAGUACACGUACCGCAUUCCGCGCGCCGCACGAUUGCUCCAGCUUGGCAGACUGCAGCGCGCUCGCGUCUCACUUGAGGCCUUUUUCUGUGUCCGUGCCGAUUAUAAUCGAAAAAGGUCCCAAGCGAAGUUGAAAGUUUAUGUUUUAGUCAGUCGCCAAGUUCGAUUAAUCGUGCGGCCCGCGAUCCGGCGCCGGCACCCGGAUGCGAAAACGCAUCGCCCUCACAACGAAACCUUUAGGUCUCCGGCCAGUAGUACGAAGAAUUUGAAAACAUCAUUGAGAAAAGUGAAAAUGGAGUUAAUUGAAUAGAAAAAAAAUAUAACUAUAUCAAGAAGACGUCGAAAAGACAAUGCUGAGUUCGACGAAUAAAUAGCAGCGGUGCUGUUUGAGUCAGCUGAUAGUAGAUUGGUUAAUUAUCUUUGGUUAUCUAGCUGUAUGAGUAUUACUGACGUCAUAAAGCUAGGUUACCGGAGUUAAGUGCCGUCUACAGCAACGGGCGUCGUCGCGUUCGCAAGAAGGAAACAGUCGCCGAUCGAAGAAUCACUACAUAGUAUAAAACAAAGUCGCUUUCUCUUUCCCUAUAUCUGUCUGUCCCUAUGUAUGCUUAAAUCUUUAAAACUACGCAACGGAUUUUGAUGCGGUUUUUUUUAAUAGAUAGAGUGAUUGAAGAGGAACGUUUAUAUGUAUAAUAACAUCCAUUAAAUAGUGGAGAAGUCAAUAAUAAAUUAUAGUUUCCGAAGCGAAGCGAGGGCGGGUCGCUAGUAAAAAAUAAAUUAUAUUUUAUUUUUAAUCGAAUUAUGUCUAACCAGCUCUCGGAUGUCUUGUUAAGCGUCUAAUUUUAUUUGUAACUUUAUGCCUUGGAAUACUAUUUCUUGAUGACGGCGGCAUAAAGUCGGAUAUCCAUUGCGAAGUUUUAAAAUUACCAUGUUCGACAAUAACCACUGAUAUGAUAGGAUUUUGAUUCAUUUAAUGUAUUAAAUAUUCUUUUUUGUUUUGUUGAUAACAUUUUUAUGAUAGCUGUAAAGAAUACUUGAGAAAAAAUGGUGUUUAAAUGUUUUGAAAGCAAAAAACUUUUUAAAUACAUAUUUUCAAAAUGUUU